ensembl:lncRNA
GAUGAUUCAGUCACUACUGGAGGAGCACAGCCACGCCAUGAUGUUGUAACACUACCCAACUAAACAUUUAUUACCUCCACUCAAUCAGUACCCAGCAACGGGACCUUUUUUUCCCAGGAAGAGGAGGGGGAACUCAGGUGUGCAGGUCAUGCAUAGAGACUGACAGCUGAGCAGGUGAUGUGGGAACUCUUCUUGGUGUGAACAGGACAAGACGCACUCCACUUCACACAACAUUAGAUAUUCACAACUGAAGUGGAUGGAGAGGGAACGAUAUGGAGAAAGAGAUGUUCUGUGUGUGUCUAAUUGUUGCUUGGACAUGUGAUUAACACGGGAGCACUGUAUCAGAGGUUACACCGAGGUCAACUCACCUGUCUGUCACAAGUUCAGGCCAACGGCGCUCUCUUGAUCCACCCAGCAGAGAUCUCAUGACUGUCUGUCAGCCCAGUAUUUCUUCCUUCCUCCUUCUUCCUUUGACUGGUUCAAGAUCAUGGUUGUCUUGCUGACUGUUUCACCUGCCUGACUGACUCCUCUGGCUCUGGUUGGCUCCUCCGCCUGACUCUUGUCAUGGUUUUUCAAUCCUCACUGCCCUUCUGACUCACCUGGUGACAUCUGACCCCUCUGCCUGGCUGUCAUGACCUUCGGCGUGUUGUAAUCAUCAGAUUGUGUUGCUGAGCUAUAUUUUCCCUCUGUGGCACGCAGUGACUUCUUCUUUUCUUUUCCUUUUUUUAACCUUUUUACCUGCCAUGCGUUUCUUCAGCAUUUCUAAAUGUGACGUGGUGUCCCUUUACUAGCAUGUUCCACACAAUCCAGAUUAAGUGGUUUUAGGGUUUCUUUUGUCAUUUCUUGUUGGUAAAACGAAGAGCUUUGAUCUGACUGAUGACAGGCUUGAGCCUUGCCUGCAGCAUCAAGAGGUUUCUGUGGCUGCGCAAGCAGGGCCUUCCAGUUCUCUGGCUAGUUUUAGCCUUAAGGCUGUGGCUGCAAUGGAUUUUAUCUUCAUCUUACCUCAUUUUAAUCAAAAGUAGUCAAAAAAAAAGAAAUAAACUAUGCAGUAGAAACAUAGAGUGAAUGCAUUCC